rnacentral:rRNA from 1 species
UACGGGGGGGGCAAGCGUUGUUCGGAAUUACUGGGCGUAAAGGGCUCGUAGGCGGCCAACUAAGUCGGACGUGAAAUCCCCAGGCUCAACCUGGGAACUGCGUCCGAUACUGGAUGGCUUGAAUCCGGGAGAGGGAUGCAGAAUUCCAGGUGUAGCGGUGAAAUGCGUAGAUAUCUGGAGGAAUACCGGUGGCGAAGGCGGCAUCCUGGGCCGGCAUUGACGCUGAGGAGCGAAAGCCAGGGGAGCAAACGGG